GCCUGUGAUGUCUGCACCGGGAGAAAACUGAAAGCCUGAGGAUCCUGAAGAAGGUGUCGCUUACGCCUCCGUCAGCUACACCAAGAAUUGUAACAGCAAAGUCAAGGCUGAUGAUGACGAUGAAGGUGAAGCUGUGACGUACAGCACUGUGAGAGUUUCCUCCCCUGGUGCUGAAGCCUCCGUUGAUCCCAGCGGCCUCUAUGCCACCAUCAACAAACCAAACAAUGGAGAGACAAACGGAUAGUUAUCAUGUCAUUAAUCUGAUAUCAUAUGUAUAUCUUAAGAGAAG